ACGGGAGGCAGCAGUGGGGAAUAUUGCACAAUGGGGGAAACCCUGAUGCAGCGACGCCGCGUGAGUGAAGAAGUAUUUCGGUAUGUAAAGCUCUAUCAGCAGGGAAGAAAAUGACGGUACCUGACUAAGAAGCCCCGGCUAACUACGUGCCAGCAGCCGCGGUAAUACGUAGGGGGCAAGCGUUAUCCGGAUUUACUGGGUGUAAAGGGAGUGUAGACGGUAAUGCAAGUCAGAAGUGAAAGCCCAGGGCUCAACCUUGGGACUGCUUUUGAAACUGUAAUACUAGAGUGCAGGAGAGGUAAGUGGAAUUCCUAGUGUAGCGGUGAAAUGCGUAGAUAUUAGGAGGAACACCAGUGGCGAAGGCGGCUUACUGGACUGUAACUGACGUUGAGGCUCGAAAGCGUGGGGAGCAAACAGGAUUAGAUACCCUGGUA
rnacentral:rRNA from 1 species